GGGGGAUUAGCUCAGUUGGUAGAGCGCCUGCUUUGCACGCAGGAUGUCAGGAGUUCGAGUCCCCUAUCCUCCA
rnacentral:tRNA from 1 species